rnacentral:lncRNA from 1 species
GAUCACAGGAUGCAAGGAUUUCAGACAGGUAUCUGGAGCUGCAGGUAAAAGUUAGUUCCUAGUUUCUCUCUCUCUAAAUUUCUCUCUUGAGUCAAAGUCUGCUUCCAUUGCAGGAUCAGUGACAAAGAUUGGACAGGCUUCCAUGAAUCAAAACUUAAUGGUGGUUGCCACCAAGUUCUGUUCACUUCUUUUUGACCUAUAUCUAAGAGUUCUUUGCGAAAGCGAGCCUUGAAGAUUGCCGCCUCCAAGUCCCGUUUCGAACUCUUUUAUUUGAGUCUUUAUGAAUUAAGCCUUAAUGGUUUUAGCCACCAAGUCCUGUUCAGACUCAUCCUAAUUAAACAAUAGAUCUUACUUACUCUUUUUUUUUAUUAUUAUUUUUUUAUUGCUAUUUUUUUUACAUAUACUCUAUAACUAAUCUAGGGUCGAAAUCUAGAGAGAGAAAAUGUAAUAAAUAAUCUAAACCAGGCGUUACCUUCCAGACCUAUCUGAAGAAUUCGAUCCCAUGUAUACCAAGCCCCAAGACAAGCGGUUAUGUCAGGUUUAGUGUUGGAAAUCAGCUUUGGUUACUUCAUACGGUUCAAGGCAAGUGUGUAGUUGAUAGGUUGAUCUGCUUUAGCA